rnacentral:lncRNA from 1 species
GGUAUAGAAUAGACGCUGAGAAAGAGGCAUAUAUAACUAUCUGCAGCAUGCUACCACUUCAAAAAUAACUGUGAAAUCCUGUGGGAUGGUGGCUAUGUAGUUGGUGGGCACCGCCGAUGGGUAGAAACAAAAAGGGGACAAUGCAGACUAAUUAAGGACAGAGAAGUGAGCCAAGAUCAAUGAUUAUUCUGAUUACCGUCACAAUAAACCCUAAUGAGUUUGAAUGUACUAAUUUAUGUCUUCUUGUACUCAAGAAGUAUAUGCUCUUUGCUUAGUGAAAAAAAAAUGAUUAAAAUAAUUUAUUUCUCAAUAAAUCUAUCUAGUAUAUUUUACAGUAUAAGUUUAUAGGAAUAUAAACAAUUUUAUUAACUUUAUAUAUCAUUCUGUUAACAAGACUGAUAAUUAUGGGUGAUUAUAACUGGUCAUGAUUUCUUAUGUAUGCUUUUAUACAGUAAGAAUUUAGCAUCCAAGAGAAGUUAGCAAUUUACUGAGAUCCCACAACUACUAAGUGGCUAAGCUUGGAUUCAGACAUGAGCUCCCUCAUGACCCUUCUCACUCAACAUGACUGCCCAUUUUCUUGGAAGACAGUCCUGGGACUAUCAAGACCAGUAGAGUGUUAAAGUGAUUGGACCCUGCCCAUCUCUGUGACCUCAUUAUUCAUCCUGUGGCCCCUGCUCAAUUUUCUAACCACAUGGCUUUCUUAUUGUUGGUGUAAUAAGCCAGUCUCUUCCCCACCUGUGACCCUUUGUAUUCAUGGUACCUUCUGCUUGGAUACACAGCCUCUGUUCCUAUGGCUACAUCCACUCUACCCAGGCUAUUAAAUAUCUCCUCUUUAUAACACUAUCCAAGGACCAUGCUAUCUAUCUGUUCAGUAGUUCUCCUGGGUCCUGAUCCCUCCCCACUUCUGUUUUCUUCAUGCUACUUGCCACAGUCUCAUAUAGUUUACUUAGUUAUCUAGUUUUUGAUCUGUGGCCUUCUAUCUGUAUUUUAAAAUGAAUGAUCAAACAUAUAAAUAAGUUAAUGAAUGAAUACUUACAAAUAUAGAUUUCUAGUAAUCCAGAGUUGGCCUUUAUCUCCCACCUAAGGUAAGAUGCCAGUUGUCAUUUGAGCCUGAAUCUAUCAAGUUCAGAAUUUUUUCUUGGAAAAUUUGAAAACUAAUUAAAUCUACUUUUUAUUCUGUUCAAGGGCAAAAGAAAUGAAUAUUAAAGUUCUUUGGGAAAAAAGAUACACUUACUAUAGCUAUAUACAUGUGGGUUUUAGUGGAGCCUUAUACUAGGGGCAUUUGCGUAAUAAAUUCUGAAUUUCUUAUUUAGAAAGCCUAUUGACACCAACACUUUUAAUUUGAUAUAAACUGUUAAAAAAUGAAAUUACGUAUAAGACUGAAUUUUAAAGUGGGAGUGAGAAUUACAAUUGCAUUUAGAAUGGUAAAUUCACUUAAAAUUGAUUUCUCUGCAUACACAUAAUUUUCAACUCAUAUAUGUACUUAAAUGACUCUUUUCUCGGAACUGUGUUCUUAAUUGUUCCAAAGUAAUUAUGGAGGUGCAAAUUGAAAAAUAGCUUUACCGCACAUGUUGAUUCCUAAGCAACUGGAAUAGAUGAGGCAGUAUUUUCUUCCAAAGUCCUUUUGCUCUGGCUUCUCCUUCUUCAUUAAAGUGAGUGCUUUUGUAAAUGUGUACAGUUUUUUAUUUUAUUGUUGUUCUAUGGGUUGUUUCCUGCUAAUUACAUUGUAAGGCAUUGUGUUCUGAGGCAGUUCGAUAUUGGCAUGUAAUUAAAUUAUCAUUUAAGUUGGACAAAAAGUUUGCAUUCCCUUCAUCUCUGCUCAUUUUUCCCUAGGCCCUUCCCCAGGGGACCUCACGAACUAAGGUAUCCUGGCCCAUAGUAUGAGACAAUCCACUUGGGGUUUUUGUCACCUGAUGUUCCCUUGUCAUAAAACCUGCUGCUAGUCACUUACUGUGAAACACCCUUCUGGCUGACCUUCCUGGGUCUGAUUCCCAGACGGCAGACUGCAGUUUUAUGGGGAGGGAGUAAGACGCACCUGUGUUUGAGGGCACUCUUUAGUUAGGGUCUUGCAGGUUGUUUUCCUUUUUUUUUUUCCCCAAUUUUUUUUAUUAGGUAUUUUCUUCAUUUACAUUUCAAGUCCCCCAUACCCCCUCCCACUCCCCUACCCACCCCCUCCCACAUUUUGGCUCUGGCAUUCCCCUGUACUGAGGCAUAUAAAGUUUGCACAAGCAAUGGGCCUCUCUUUCCACUGAUGGCCGACUAGGCCAUCUUUUGAUACAUAUGCAGCUAGAGACACGAGCUCCGGGGUACUGGUUAGUUCAUAUUGUUGUUCCACCUAUAGGGUUGCAGAUCCCUUUAGCUCCUUGGGUACUUUCUCUAGUUCCUCCAUUGGGUGCCCUGUGAUCCAUCCAAUAGCUGACUGUGAGCAUCCACUUCUGUGUUUGCUAGGCCCUGGCCUAGUCUCACAAGAAACAACUCUAUCUGGGUCCUUUCAGCAAAAUCUUGCUAGUGUGUGCAAUGGUGUCAGCGUUUGGAAGCUGAUUAUGGGAUGAAUCCCCGGAUAUGGCAGUCUCUAGAUGGUCCAUCCUUUUAUCUCAGCUCCAAACUUUGUCUCUGUAACUUCUUCCAUGGGUGUUUUGUUCCCAACUCUAAGAAGGGGCAAAGUGUCCACACUUUGGUCUUCGUUCUUCUUGAGUUUCAUGUGUUUCACAAAUUGUAUCUUAUAUCUUGGGUAUUCUAAGUGUCUGGGCUAAUAUCCACUUAUCAGUGAGUACAUACCAUGGGAGUUCUUUUGCCUCAGAAACAAGUCAGAAGAAAUGAACAGAGGCUUUUUCAGUGUUCACAUCAUGCCUUCUUCCUGGGGCUGUUGGUGGGGACCCUUUCUCCUUGCUGUAUACUGACUUUAUAACCUGAGGAAAGUUGGAAAUACAAUUGUGUGAGCGUACAUUGGGAUCUGGUGAAAACGAGACCAGGAAUUAAAGGGCUGGGUUAAUGUAUCAUUAUGAUUUAAGUAUUAUUAUUAUUUAAGAUUUAUAAGCUUACGGUCUCUGGCUCUUGGGGGCCUGCUUUUGACAGGGUAGUCUCCAUGUAUAAUAGAUUGGCCCUUUUAUGGAUCAACUGAAGCUUUUCUUUUUCUUUCUCUCCUUUUUUUUUUUCCUCUCCUGUCAAGGCUGUGUAGGUGAGAAGCAGCAUGGGCUAAUGGAAAAUGUAUAGCAAAAGCAGUGGCGAUGAGAAAGAAUUCAUAAUGGGUACACACAUUGCUGGAGUACUUCCCAAGCACUUUGCAGGGUGCCAAUGAGGUUUCUUUGGCAGAGGCAAAGUGGAACAUGUGCUUUGCCAUGUCUGAACACUGACUUGAAAGGUCCUUUAUGGUUCACAAAGGCAGCUGCUUUUGAGCUGGUGUGGUAGCCAUAGCUUCAGAAAGUCACUUAAGUAUGUGUAGUGCAAACUCCUGACAUCCAUUUGGAAAUUUGGUUGCAUGUUGGGAACUUACUUAUUCACAAGUGGCAUGGAACAAGAAAGUAUCCUUUGUUAGAUUGUGGGGCCUUUGUUCAUUUUCCUGGAGGUUUGGGUAUCCAACCUACAUUCUGAGCAGUGUUUGCAGUGUUCCAUACAUAUGUAAAUUUGAAGUGAUGACUUUCUUCUUAAUUUUGAAAGCUAUGGACAGCAGUAUUACUUUGCCUAGUAGAACAACAUUAUUAUUGAGUUACCUUUAGGCAUAUUUCAUUGUAUUGGUAGACUUUCUUCCCUGGGGUUUGUAACCUCUAGUGCAUUGUUACUCAGUGAGAUUUUAGGCUUUGCUAAACUUUCCUUCAUGAAACCUGGGGCUCUUUGUGCUUGUUUCUAAUCUGAGACUUUUGUCUACUCUUUUAUUAAUUUUAGUGAGUUAGCUUCCCUUUCCUAAGUGUCUCAACUCUAGAUGGUAGAAGUAGCAUUGCUUCCUUUCGCUUUCAACAAGACAUGUGCUACCAGUUCCCCCCUUGAGUAACUAGGCCAUGAUUUUUUGAAUCUUCAUUAGUUUUCUAUAUAUUAAAUACUAAUAUGCCUUAGCAUUGUCACAGGUUGCUUAGAAAACAAAGGAUGAAUGCUUUGUUUAUAGUAGACCAUAACUACUGUAUUUCUAAAUG